rnacentral:lncRNA from 1 species
UCUGCUGCAAUUGAACAUCAAAACAAUAACCUGAAUGAUGCCGAACACAGAAACUUUCACCACACUCCUCACUACGAUGGGGACAAGGAACUUCAUGGGGUAUGACUUAAGCUGCACCGGAUGGGAGGACAGAUGGCUUAGUGGCUACCGUAUAGAGCUUGCGCCAUAGAUUUACAAGCAGAUUUCAGUCAGAACGAGGAGGUCGAGAACGGUGUAUGAGGCAAUCACUGAGGAGAGAUGGCCCAAAGAUAUUGGG